rnacentral:rRNA from 1 species
CGGGUGACGGAGAAUUGGGGUUCGAUUCCGGAGAGGGAGCCUGAGAAACGGCUACCACAUCCAAGGAAGGCAGCAGGCGCGCAAAUUACCCAAUCCCGACUCGGGGAGGUAGUGACAAUAAAUAACAAUGCCGGGCUAUCUUUAGUCUGGCAAUUGGAAUGAGAACAAUGUAAACACCUUAACGAGGAACAAUUGGAGGGCAAGUCUGGUGCCAGCAGCCGCGGUAAUUCCAGCUCCAAUAGCGUAUAUUAAAGUUGUUGCAGUUAAAAAGCUCGUAGUUGGAUUUCGGGGCAGGAGGUCCGGUCCGCCGAAAGGUAGGUACUGGACGCCAGCCCUUUUUCUCGAAGGCCCCAUCUGCUCUUCACUGAGUGGUAGGGGAGUUCGGGACGUUUACUUUGAAAAAAUUAGAGUGUUCAAGGCAGGCCGUCGCUUGAAUACGUUAGCAUGGAAUAAUGGAAUAGGACUUCGGUUCUAUUUCGUUGGUUUCUGGGACCGAAGUAAUGAUUAAGAGGGACAGUUGGGGGCAUUCGUAUUCAAUUGUCAGAGGUGAAAUUCUCGGAUUUAUGGAAGACGAACAACUGCGAAAGCAUUUGCCAAGGAUGUUUUCAUUAAUCAAGAACGAAAGUUGGGG